ACUUUCAGUUUCUCUUUUUCUAUAAACCAAAACAUUAUGUGGCGAAAUGUUUCUUUUGUGGAGAGAAUAGAGCUUGACUUCUCGGGAAACAUUUUUAAUCAUGCUAUUGUACUUGGUGAUGUUGAUAAUGAUCAGGGGCAUGAGUUAGCAGUUGGAAACACUGAUGGGGAUUUAGCAAUUUUUAAGGGAAGUUCAAAGUCCCCUUGGAAGCGAUGUUCCAGUCUGGGAAUGAUAACCUGUAUUGGAGUUGGGGAUGUAUUCAACAAAGGAAAGAAUGUGCUGGUUGCAUUGACAGCUGAAGGAUGGUGUAACAUUUUUGACAUAAAAGCAGACUCAUCCAGUGAGACCAGCAAAGACUUGGAAGCUGGAGAUCAUUUAGCCCCAACCUUCAAUCAACAUCUGCCAGCCAAUGGGAAAGUUCUUCUGAUUGAAGAUGUUGAUGGUGAUGGUAAGGUGGAGCUGACGGUGGCAUACUCUGACCGGGUGGUGCGAUGUUUUAGGUGGAGCACAGUUCAGGACCCAGAGACAGAGGAAGUCACCAAUAACCUCAUCCAGAUACAGAAAUGGCAGCUAGCAGGACAGAUUGGUUCUCUGACUGUCAACUUUACAGAAGAAGGUCAUCCUGAACUUCUAGUGGCCCAGCCAGGAGGGGAAUACGUGACCAUGACCUUUAAACAGGGGUCAGAACUCGACCUCUCUAGUGACAGUGAAGGGUACAAUGAAGAAGUAUUGAAAUCUGACCAGAGAGCGAAUCAAUCAGCCUCUACAGAAAUCAUUGGCGGCAUCUCCAGACAGACCUCAAAACAGCCGGGGACCUAUUACGCAAUAUGUACUUUAGACGGAAAUCUGUUGUUAGUUGAAAAGAAACAGAUUUUAUGGUCUUUACAAGUCGACCAUCAGCUGUUUUCUCUCAAAAAGUUGGAUGUAACAUUUAUAUUUUGAUUAGGGCAAUGGGAAGGAGGAAGUGGUUUGUUGUUCGUGGGACGGUCAGACGUACAUAGUUAACCACAACAGAGCGGUGGUCAGGUACCAGUUCCAGGAAAGUGUCGCCGCAUUCACAGCAGGUCUGUAUGGUGUGGACAACAACCCCAGCUUUGUGUACGCCACAUACAACAACAAGAUUUACAUCUACAACAGUAUACAGCUACCACAGGUGGAGUCCACCAAUCUGAUCGAGGUGAUGGAAAAACGAGAAAACACUCAGGAACUUCUGGACAAGAUAGGACUGCAAGAUGCUCACCCCACCCAGCUCCGAGAUCUGUACCACUGGUUGUUGUAUGGGUGGAGGGACUAUACGUGACUGUGACUUCACCUGUAUCCUGGGGGAGUAGGGAGAUACGAUGACCCUAUUGUGUGAUGAUCACCUGCCAUGUCAGGUGAACACAGCAGCUUUAAUGAAAUUAUUUGUGAACUGAUGAACCAGUUCCAAAUACAUGUACAUGUAAUUAAAAAAAUUGCUUGAAACAGCAUCAAAACUAUUGAAAAGAUUUAUUCAAAUAUAUAUGCUACAUUAUUUUUAUUUGUGUACAUUGUAAACAUGAUUAUUAAAUGCCAUGACAGUUUG
rnacentral:misc_RNA from 1 species